rnacentral:rRNA from 1 species
GACGAACGCUGGCGGCGUGCUUAACACAUGCAAGUCGAACGGAAAGGCCCUGCUUGCAGGGUGCUCGAGUGGCGAACGGGUGAGUAACACGUGGGUGAUCUGCCCCUUACUUUGGGAUAAGCCUGGGAAACUGGGUCUAAUACUGGAUAGGACCAUGCUGUAGGUGGUGUGGUGGAAAGAUUAGUUUCGGUUAGGGAUGAGCUCGCGGCCUAUCAGCGUGUUGGUGGGGUAAUGGCCUACCAAGGCGUCGACGGGUAGCCGGCCUGAGAGGGUGGACGGCCACAUUGGGACUGAGAUACGGCGCAGAAUACUACGGGAGGCAGCAGUGGGGAAUAUUGCACAAUGGGCGCACGCCUGAUGCAGCGACGCCGCGUGGGGGAUGACGGCCUUCGGGUUGUAAACACCUUACAGCCAUGACGAAGCCCUUGUGGUGACGGUAGUGGUAGAAGAAGCACCGGCUAACUACGUG